UGCGUGCAGUGAAUAUAGGAAUACGAUGGCUUGACUGAUUGUGACUUGCCACAGAGCUUAUUUUAACAGAGCAUCAUGGAAGAAGCUUGGUUUCAAGUUGGUACGGUCUACUAGGUGACGUUUGAUUUUAUAGGCCUUUUUUCACCAAGGCAUGGGCUUGUGUAGUGUUGUCUUGGUGAUGUGCAAUGUGUAGUAUUCCGUUCUUAGAUGGUGAGGGAUGAUGUUGCAUUGCUGAAUGGGUUCCAGAACAUACAUUCGAGAAUUUUUUUUCAUUUGGUUUGGUCAAUAUUUAUCAUGAUUUGCUUAAAUCAUAUGUGUCGUGGAGUAGCUUCAAAUGCAUGCAUCGUGCAUAGUGCUUAUCUACCCUGAACACAUGAUUACAUUCUUUACAGCCAUGGAACUUUGCUCACUUGUUUCCCCAAAGUUGUUCUUCUUCAUUUGUGUUCUCCCCAAUGCUGCAGAGGUGGCGUAGGUAAGAUAAGGCACUCCCUUCCUCUCCUAUGCUUCCUCUUCUGUUCUGUGUCUCCAUGGCCAUCGAGCCAUGGUAGGUUCUAUGCUGGCCAUGCAAAUUUCUAGGGUUUGAGGCUAUGGUGAUGGUAUGUUGUGAUAACUAGUGCCACUAUUUCUCUUCUGCUCUUUGUGUCCACAUCCAUCGUGUCGUGGUGAGCUCCGUUCUCGCCAUCGUGCCAUGGAAAGCUCUAGUCUUUUGGGCUAUGGUGAUGGCCGCCCUUUGCGUGGAUUUAGCCCCGGAAACAAGUUUUUUAGUUUGACUUGUGGUUUAUAUAAUCAAUUAAUCCCCAAUCCAGCACUAUUUCUGGUUUGUCUACCGGAUUUUUUCAUUAUUUCCAUGCAGACUAUGUAUGCGAUGCACUUGAGACUUGACCUCUACCUUUUGAGUUUUGAUACGCUCGAAUAUUGUUAUGCUAUAAUUUUGUGUCUUGUACAUUCGAGAGAGAUCUGACUAGGCUGUUACAGGUUGAGGGAACUUGAUAAGCUCAAGGGACAUGUGGAAUUUGGUUUGCCAACUAGAAGGCGCUCGGCAUCGAGACGGUCCAGCAGUCCGUACACGGUGUGAUGAUCUGGGCUUCCAUGAAUGCAUCAGCUACAACUACUUGGGUGAGUCCCUGAUCUGGGCUCCCAUUGUAUGCGUCCUACAUCUUGCUUAUCAACCCUCAACACAUGGUUACAUUCUUUAAAGCCAUGGACCUUUGCUCACUUGUUUCCCAAAGUUGUUCUUUCUUCAUUUGUGUUUUCCUCUUGCAGAUGCGAUCGUUGUUGUGAUAGAGCUGCAGUGGUGGUGUAGGUAAGAUAAGGCACUCCCUUCCUCUCAUGUGCUUUCUCUUUCGCUCUGUGUGUCCAUGGCCAUCAAGCCGUGGUAGGUUCUAUGCUGGCCAUGGAAAUUUCUAGGAUUUGGGGCUAUGGUGACGGUUUGUUGUGAUAACUAGCGCCACCAUUUCUCUUCUUCUGUUUGUGUCCACGACGUGUCAUGGUGAGCAUUGUGCUCGCCAUCGCGCGAUGGCAAUCUCUAGUUUUGUUGGGCUGUGGUGAUGGUCACCAUUUGAGUGGAUUUAGCCCUGGAGGACUAAGUGUUUUAGAUUGCCUCAUGGUUCAUAGAAUUUAUUAAUCCCCAAUAUGGCACUAUUUCUUUUUUGUCCAUUGAAUUUCUUCAUUAUUUCUGUGUAGACUAUGUAUGCUUUUUUGCCAGUUGCAAUUAAUUGUUCGCGGUAUUUGUUCUUGACCUGCAUAUUUGGAAUCAACUGGCCAGGAACCAGUCAAAUUUUCUUAUUUGUAAGGAAGGUAUGGGGGAAACAAAUAAUACCCUUUUGAAAUUUUAUGAGAUAAAAGUGAGAUAGAAACAAUCUGCCAUGUGAAAUCAUCAUAUAUUCCCUAUCUGUGUUGGGCAUAAACCAGUCAUAUCUUCCUAACUUAGUUCUUGCUGUGUAUCUAGAAACUGGUUUCCUGAAGCUAUUCCCCAACUUCAUUGACCUACGGAUAUAAACCUUGAUGGAUUUUAGGUAUUUCUUAGCUUGGUUGGCCUACUGAGAUGAACACUUUUUCUUUUUUGUGAGACUUUGAGAACAGAGUCGUUGCUCUGUUGGUAAGGUGUGCGGAUGCAUAUUUGAGUCUUAGACUCCGCGGUGUCUCAGGUUGUUUCUUCUAUAUAUAAAAAAUGCCGCCAAGUGCUCCUGUUUGGUCCCCCUUUUCAUAUUCUGAGACCUUGAAAUAUAACUUCCUGUAAUUUUGUUAUCAUUCUGCAUUUCAAGAACCACCGAUUGUAAAGUUGAUUUGUAAAUCGUUUACGCAAUCUCUCGUGUUGUGCAUAAGUGUUAAGAGUGUAAAGUUUCAUCCAAUUCCUUUUUUUUCAUGAAUUUUAGGUUAUUCUUUGAGGUCUCCUAAUCUUCUACAACCUCGGCAGUGGUGGCUGCCUCUUCUUGGUUCAGGUAAGCCCUUGAUGUCCUAUCUCUCUCCUCCUCCGAGAUGGUGUCUGGCCAUCAAGCCAUUGAUUUAGUGUUCAGAUCCACGGUGCUGGUCUUUCGGCGGUCCAUCAAGCCAUUGAUGUUCAUCCCUAUUAGCUGGCUGCGUUGAUUGUUUUGAAAUGUUAAGCAUUUUGGGCAGCUAAGGGUUUAGUUGGAUUCAAAAUGUGAAAACUAAGCCCUCGAACUAACCAAAUGUUGCCUCUCAGCUAUGGAGCAAAAUUAUAUGAUUUCGUCUUUGUUUAUUAUCUUGUCGCCUUGCUAGACGAAAUGGGAAUAUAUGCAUUGGUUUUUGACAUUAUGUUGUAACUAGGUAGGGUGAUUUUUGUCAAAUGCUUAAAAUCAGAGAAUGGUAUGAGUUGAUUGUUUUUGACCCGAGAUCAAAAUGCAUGUGAUUAGAUAAUCCGGUACUAUAUGGCAGAACAUUUGGGCAUGAUAUAGUGACUAUUUAACAUGGUUAUGCUACUGUUUGGGUUGUGAUUCUACGGAUAUGCUUCCUGGCAUUGCUAGUAUUGGUAGGUGAUUGUUGGUCUUGUUUAAUAGGAUUGAACAAGAAAAGAGAGAUAUUCUCUACUUGAUUUCUUACAAAAUGUGUUAGCGUUGUGCUUUGUGUUGCUGAAAAGAAGUUUGGCAUGCUUGACCUAUUCCCAUGUGCUGGUGCAGUGGUGCAGUGUGCAGUGAUUAUAGAACACGAUGGCUUGACUAAUUGUAACCUGCAAUGAAGCACAUUUUAAGAGAGCAUCAUGGAAUAAUCUUGGUUUCUAGUUGGUACUGUCUAGUAGGUGAUGUUUGAUUUUAUAGGCCUUUUUUUACCAAGGCAUGGGCAUGUGUAGUAUUGUCUUGGUGUUGUGCAAUGUGUACUAUUCCGUUCAUUUUAAUUUGGUUUUGUAAAUAUUUAUUAUGAUUUGGUUAAACCAAAGAUAUUGUGGAGUAGCUCCAAGUGUAUGCGUCGUGCAUAGUGCUGAUCUACCUGAACACAUAUUUACGUUCUUUUGAGCCAUGGACCUUUGCUCCCUUGUACUCCCUCCGUUCCAAAUUACUCAUCGUGGUUUUAGUUCAAAUUUUGAACUAAAACCACGACGAGUAAUUUGGAACGGAGGGAGUAGAUAUUUAUUUUGUCAGCAUGCACCCCUUGUUGAUGCAUUAGAUAGAGGACCUGACCCAUCCUGGUUGUUUCUUUGAAUAUUACUACAGGAGUGGAAGUCGCAGGCUGAGGGAAGGGAAGUUUAUACUCCACAUGGGAAGGAAAGGAGGUGACAGACCCAAGUGUUGUUUGCUUGCGCGGUAGUUGCAACAAACAUGCCCCAAGUGUUGUUCCUUCAAGACUUUUUGUUGCUGUGGACACAUGUGUUUGUUAUGGUUGGUUUAUGAUGAGUCACAACAAAAAACUUGGGUUGUUGAUGUGUCUGUGAAACAAUCAAUUUCUUUUUGUUUGUUUGUUUGUAUCGAACCCAAGGAAGGAGCAUAAUACUUUGAAGCUGCCGAUCGAAUUGGUGGUUUUGAGGGUGGUAUUAUAUAUUGAACUCACUCAUCUACUGGUCCAUAUUUAUUUAUGUUUGUGGAAUUUGCAGUGCCUCAUUGGAUUUAUCAAAUAUUUUCUAGAGGAAGUUAGGUUGAAUUGAUGAUGAGUUAUGUAUUGGCUGCCCCAAGUUGGGUUAGUUGGUUCCCCUUUAUUAUGUAGAAUGUAUCCAAAUGGUAUGGAAUGUAUGUUAUUUAUAAGUGCUCCACCAUGAUGGUACGACGCGGCGGUGGAACUGGUUGUUGAUGAGGGAAGGUCUUGGUCGACGAGCUCCUCUACAUAUUGAGGAAUGCCGAUGGGUGUUGCUUGCUUCAUGCGAAACUGCUGUGAAGUUGUGCAAAAUCUAGCAAGGAGUUGUUGCCACGAUCAAUCAAGUGGAAAAUAUGUUUGAACGAAUCAGUCCAGUCAGGCUUGCUUGUUUUGAUUAGAUGCACACCACAACACCACUUAUGAAGAAAGAAAUUUGAGUCUUUACGUCGUGAUCCAAUGGAAGAUGUU
rnacentral:lncRNA from 1 species